AUCGCUUCUCGGCCUUUUGGCUAAGAUCAAGUGUAGUAUCUGUUCUUAUCAGUUUAAUCUAAUAUCUCAUUGCUGUCACCCUGAACAAACGUAAUCUGCCUCAGUUUCCUCAUUUAUAAACUGUGUAUAAUAAUUUUUUUCUCAGGGAUUUUGUGAAGAUGAAAUGAGAUAAUAUUUGUAAAAUGUUUGGCAAGCCCCU
rnacentral:snRNA from 1 species